GACGAACGCUGGCGGCGUGCUUAACACAUGCAAGUCGUACGGUAAGGCCCUUUCGGGGGUACACGAGUGGCGAACGGGUGAGUAACACGUGAGUAACCUGCCCACAACUUUGGGAUAACGCUAGGAAACUGGUGCCAAUACUGGAUAUGUGCUCCUGCUGCAUGGUGGGGGUUGGAAAGCUCCGGCGGUUGUGGAUGGACUCGCGGCCUAUCAGCUUGUUGGUGGGGUAGUGGCCUACCAAGGCGGCGACGGGUAGCCGGCCUGAGAGGGUGACCGGCCACAUUGGGACUGAGAUACGGCCCAGACUCCUACGGGAGGCAGCAGUGGGGAAUAUUGCACAAUGGGCGCAAGCCUGAUGCAGCAACGCCGCGUGCGGGAUGACGGCCUUCGGGUUGUAAACCGCUUUCAGCAGGGACGAAGCUUUUUGUGACGGUACCUGCAGAAGAAGCACCGGCUAACUACGUG
rnacentral:rRNA from 1 species